rnacentral:miRNA from 8 species
UAACCAGUUGAACAACUGAACCC